UACGGAGGAUGCAAGCGUUAUCCGGAAUAAUUGGGCGUAAAGCGUCCGCAGGUGGCUGUGUAAGUCUGCUGUUAAAGAGUCUAGCUCAACUAGAUACAAGCAGUGGAAACUACACGGCUAGAGUACGUUCGGGGCAGAGGGAAUUCCUGGUGUAGCGGUGAAAUGCGUAGAGAUCAGGAAGAACACCGGUGGCGAAAGCGCUCUGCUAGGCCGCAACUGACACUGAGGGACGAAAGCUAGGGGAGCGAAUGGG
rnacentral:rRNA from 1 species